GCGGGUAUGGUUGAAUGGUAAAAUUUAUUUUUGCCAAGGAGAAGAUGCAGGUUCGAUCCCCGCCACCCACC
rfam:Picea glauca, whole genome shotgun sequence.